CCCUUAGAUGUUCUGGGCCGCACGCGUGCUACACUGAGUGGAUCAGCGGGUCAGGUUGCGCGAAAGCGUUUCCUAAUCUUUAAAUCCGCUCGUGAUGGGGAUUGACGGUUGCAAUUUUCUGUCAUGAACGAGGAAUACCUUGUAAGCGCGGGUCAUCAUCCCGCGCUGAAUACGUCCCUGCCCUUUGUACACACCGCCCGUCGCUCCUACCGAUUGAGUGGUCCGGUGAGGCUUUGGGAUCUGAGCGGAAAGAGCGUUUCGCUGUUUCUGCUCGGAAAACUAAGUCGAACCUUAUCAUUUAGAGGAAGGAGAAGUCGUAACA
rnacentral:rRNA from 1 species